rnacentral:lncRNA from 1 species
AUCACCAAGGAGCAUUUAAAAAUUUUCUAUAACAUAUUAACAAAGAUUAGGUCUUUAUCUGAUGUGCAGUGGAAUAAGGAUCAAAUCUCUAAAGAUUCUGAAUUCAAAGCCUCGCAAAGGUUUGAAUCCAUAAAUCCUCUACUUCACACGCAUGCCAAACUUCACAGAAAAGCAGGAUGAAGUCUCGGAUUGAAGCACCUUCACAAGAUAGCAAAGG